CCCUGCACUCUAAAUAUGUUCAUGAGUAUGGAAUCAUAUCAAACUCAAAUACAUAUUCAUAUCGAUUCUCAAUUAACCAAUGAUGACUCUAAUGAAGAAGUAUUAGAAACUUUUUCUAAUCUUUUUUCUGCUUUUGGCCAAAAGACUUUCUCAAGUCAUCUAGGAUUGAAAAUACACAAGAUGCGAUCUCCUCUUACUAGGAGUGAUCGAUUCCAUGUUUAUCUACUCACAACUUUCAUAUACACUCCACCAUACCCAGAACAUCUCGUACAUAUCUUAAUGCUAUGUCUGGGUAUUAACCAAAAUAUGGGUUCGAACCAAAAUAUGGGUUCAUGUGCAUAAGAUUCUAUAGUGAUCUCAGGUCUAAGGAUCACUUACACAACUCCCACUUAGAGAACCAUCUUUGACAUACAAGUAAGGCUUCCAUAAGAUAUUUUCUUUCAUCGAGUCAAUUCAGUGGACUCAUUUUCUAAAUGAGCACCCACAUCCUUGUAUUAAUGUCCCACACAACUGGCUAGUGAGAUCUGCCACUCU
rnacentral:lncRNA from 1 species